GGGGAUUUAGCUCAGUGGUAGAGCGCUUGCCUAGCAAGCGCAAGGUCCUGGGUUUGGUCCCCAGCUCCA
rfam:Rattus norvegicus chromosome 13, whole genome shotgun sequence.